CACCAGAUAGCUUAGUUGGUAGAGCACCUGACUUAAGAGAUACAGGGGGUCUGGGUUCGAAUCCUGGUCUGAUCG
rnacentral:tRNA from 1 species